AUGCCGUCCGCCGGGCCGUCCAUGUCGGCGGCGGAUGGGCUCCUCGCGCUGGCGGAGGAGGCCGAGCGCCGCCGCGACUUCACCACCGCCACCUCCUGCCUGGACUCGGCGCUCAGCCCGCCCCACGCCGCCUCGCUCCUCCCGCUCGCCGAGGCCCGCGCGCGGAUGCGCCUCGCCGGCCUGCUGCUCGCCCGCUCCAAGGGGCUCGCCAAUGCCAAGGCCCACCUCGAGCGCGCGCUGCUCGUCCUCAACCCGCUCCCCUCCGCUCCGCCGCGCCUCAAGCUGCUCGCGCACUCCCUCCUCGCCAACGUCUACGGCCUCCUCGGCGCCGUCCCGUCGCAGAAGCACGCGCUCCGCCGCGGCCUCAGCCUCCUCGCAUCCGCCUCCGCCUCGGGGCUUCUCCCCCCUGGCCCGGCCCUCCUCUGGACCAGUAACUUCCAGGCGCAGCUCGCCUCCGCACUCGUAGUCGACGGGGACGCUGCAUCUGCUCUCACUACUCUGUCUGCCGGGGCUGCCGCCGCCGCCGAUCUCGAGAGCCCCCAGCUCGACCUAUUCUUCGCUGCCACCGCUCUCCACGUCCAUUUACUCUGCUGGGAGGACAACGCCGCCGUUGAAGAAGCCGUCGCGCGCGUCUCCCAGCUCUGGGAUGCGCUCACGGCCGAGCAGAAGGAGCAUUGGGUUGGGCUGUUCUUCUACACGGAGCUGCUGCAGACUUUCUACCUGCUCAGGGUAUGUGACUACAAGGCUGCCUCGAAGCAUGUAGAGAGGCUGGACACCGCUGUUAAGAACGAGAUGGAGAGGGGACAUCGUAUUAAAGAGCUUGGUACUGAACUCAGUGCAGUUGAGGGAACACUAGCGCAGACCAUGUUGAAGGAGAGGGAGAGGGUGGCUCUAGCGCAUAAGCAGGGGCAGUUGAGAGCUCAGCUGCAAGCGUUGUGCGGGUAUGACACAUUGAAAGAUGUGUUAGAUUAUGGGGACAAGUUACUGUUGGCACCACCGCCGAUGCACGGAGAGUGGCUCCCGCGGACUGCGGUGUUUGUGCUGGUGGAUCUCAUGGUCGUGAUGGUCAGUCGGCCAAAAGGCAUAUUUAAGGAGUGUGGAAAGAGAAUACAUUCAGGACUACAGCUCAUCCAUGAGGAACUCUCGAAGCUUGGGAUCGUGGAUGGUGUGACAGAGGGAGAUUUGGAACACUCAACUAUAUGGACGGCCGGGUUGUACUUGAUGCUUUUACUUCAGUUUCUCGAAAACAAUGUAGCUGUAGAACUCACGAGAUCAGAAUUUGUUGAAGCCCAAGAGGCUUUAGCACAGAUGAAAAAUUGGUUUACUCGUUUCCCAACAAUUCUCCAAGGUUGUGAGAGCACAAUUGAAAUGCUAAGGGGACAGUAUGCACAUUCUGUUGGCUGCUUUGACGAGGCUGCUUUCCACUUCCUUGAAGCAUUGAAGCUGACAGAGAACAAAUCAAUGCAAUCUAUGUGCCAAGUUUAUGCGGCAGUCUCCUACAUUUGUAAGGGUGACGCGGAAUCAUCUUCAGAGGCACUAGAAUUGAUUGGUCCUGCUUACAGAACCAUGGACUCAUUUGUUGGGGUACGAGAGAAGACCUGUAUCAUUUUUGUUUACGGACUUCUACUUAUGAGGCAGCAUAAUCCACAAGAUGCACGGGUCCGCCUUGCAAGUGGUUUGAGAAUAGCGCACCAACAGUUGGGUAACAUCCAAUUGGUUUCUCAGUAUUUAACAAUAUUAGGUACAUUAGCACUUCAGUUACACGACACUGGACAAGCCAGAGAGAUCUUGAAGUCAUCGUUGACGUUAGCUAAGACACUUUAUGACAUCCCAACACAAAUCUGGAUCUUGUCGGUAUUUACAGAGUUAUAUCGAGAACUGGAAGAAAAGGAGAAUGAAAUGGAGAAUUCAGAAUAUGGAAGUAAGAAAGAGAUCGAUCUGCAGAGAAGACUGGCUGAAGCUCGUUCUCGCGCUUAUCACCAGGAGCUGGUGGAGAAAGUGAGGAUCGAAGUCGAGCCGCUGCACGACUUGUUCCAGAAGCAUAACGAUAUGUCGGGCCUGCCGGCAAAUGAUGACCUUGACAUCCCAGAAUCAGUGGGGCUGUCCACUCCGCAGCCCUCGUCUGUGAGAAGGCUGGUCGAUUCAAGCUCAGUAAGGCGCAGCACAAGGAGGCGGGUGUCGUGA
rnacentral:rRNA from 1 species